rnacentral:rRNA from 1 species
UACGUAGGGUGCGAGCGUUGUCCGGAAUUAUUGGGCGUAAAGAGCUCGUAGGCGGUCUGUCGCGUCGAUCGUGAAAACUUGGGGCUUAACCCUGAGCUUGCGGUCGAUACGGGCAUGACUGGAGUUCGGCAGGGGAGACUGGAAUUCCUGGUGUAGCGGUGAAAUGCGCAGAUAUCAGGAGGAACACCAAUGGCGAAGGCAGAUCUCUGGGCCGUAACUGACGCUGAGGAGCGAAAGCAUGGGGAGCGAACGGG